ACCACCUCUCCCCAGUCACUCACCAGUCAACACCCAGGCAUUACGAUGAACCAGCAACACCAGCCUACUCACUCAUCCAGUCAGUCACUCAGCCAGUCAAUGGAUCAGAAAACCGUCACAAGCUAAUGAAAGUAGUGGAAGAACGCCAUCCAGUCACCUCAUCCAGCAUCUCAUCCAGUCACCUCACACACACGUCAACCUCUGCCAACAGGUGUGGAGGUAAACCUGGUAGUACUGCAGGUGUGGGGAUGACACUGGUGGUACUGCAGGUGUGGAGAUGACGCUGAUGGUACUACAGGUGUGGAGAUGAUGCUGAUGGUACUACAGGUGUGGAGAUGAUGCUGAUGGUACUACAGGUGUGGAGAUGACCUGAUGGUACUACAGGUGUGGGGAUGACACCGGUGAUAACUUCAUUUAUAACUACACUUCUAUUACACCCUUCAGUCUUGUACCUAACACCACUUCAGACAUUCAUUUAUUUCAUUGUAUUUCGGUGUUGAUGUCUUGUGUUUUUCUUAUGAGAGAAAAUAUGCGUGACAGAGGUAUUAAUAUGACGAUGGUUUUAAUAUUCAGCAUAAAUGUUCCUAUAUUACUUUUCAUUUCGUGGAAUGGAAUGAAAACUAUCACAGAUGAGUUCUUUCACAAUUUCAUAAUCUUUUUUUUUUAUACCAUUGUGUUAGAAAUAUCCAGGGAAUAAUUGUAGUAAGAACGAUCCAUCAUUAAGGUUGAAUGUUACCUUUAGAUUGGUGUAUACAUAAACCUAAAAUUAUCUUUUGUGUUAGACAAUAUGACACAGCGGACGAAGGAUUUUGACAACCCUACUGAGACAACAGGAGUCACAGUGUUCAUUUUAACAUUUAUCGGACCCCUCCAUUAAGACACUUGUUUGACUGUGUGUACAUUAUAUAUUUUUUUAUAAACCCACUAACUUUAAAAUCACUACAACUUCAUUUUCUUACAAUAAUUUUAGCUUAUAUUUCCAUAGAUUGAUCGUAAUAUUUUCACGAUAAUAUUCUGUCUACAAAAAUAUUUAUUCUAGAUUUCUUUGUGUUCCUGAUUGCUCUUCACACACACACACACACACACACACACACACACACACACACGUAUAUUUAUCAUGACCAAACCCUUCAUUAUAAUUCUCAACCAUUGAAAAAUACUCUAAUCUUAAACAUUCACUUUAGUACACAUAGCUAGACAUCUGUGCUUCUGUUCACUGUUCGAGACAUAAACCAUUGUAUCAGGGAUUCUGUGAGUGUAUGUCUUGUUUAUGGAAGUGUAUCUACGACUCACUCAUACAUUCUUAUCUCUGUCGUUUCUUCAAGACUAUAUGUUUCUGAUGGAAUAUUUCCCGUACAGACCCAUAUUUCCUGUGAGACUCCCUGUGCUGCUGGUUCUAUUCGUUCUAACUGUACAGGUAGAUUUAAUUUCUUCUUCAUUUAGCCCAUCAGGUUAAUAGAAGCACUAAGUUUUAACAGUUGUAAUCACUCGCCUUCUUUGUUACUUUAGUUAAUCUCUCGUCUUCAAUACAAGUUUACGUUUGUAUAGUUUAAUAGUCUUCAUGUGCCAGUCACUUUCUGCCACGAAUUUAUUGUUCAUUGUUGGUAUUUCACAAUUAUUUCUUGCUCUUGCGUACGUACAAUUUAAAUAUGUUGUGAUGCUUUGACUAUGACCUGCCACGUAUCAUUCAACACUGAUUAUAAACAAGAACAAUAUUAUUUCAUCAAAGUGACGACAAAGUUUAAGAUGUUGUACAAUAAGUGAGUCAGUUAUGUGUUCAUUGAUAUUCGUUUCGUGUCCAACACCACUGUCGUAUAAAAAAGUGUCCUGUACAGUAGCUAAAACAACUAUCUGUGCAGGUGGGGGUCGAUUUGCUCCGAAAUUUUACGUGUGACUAGUGACAGCCCUCACAUACCAAUAUUU